GCACAGUUAGACUUAUCUCUCCUUGUCUAUUAAGCUUGUUGGAGAUGUAUCUCUAAUUUGAGAUGAAAAUUCCUAUAAUAACGGGAGAAAAAAAUGCUCUGGGCUUCUUGCAAACUCCCAACAACAAAGAGUUUUUAAAAGCAAAGAAGAAAGAUGGACUAACAGGCUCCAUAACAAAAAAUGUGGUCUGAACAGGAAAGAAAGCUUCCCUCUCUGAAUGCCUG